AUUGAACGCUGGCGGCAUGCCUUACACAUGCAAGUCGAACGGCAGCACGGGUGCUUGCACCUGGUGGCGAGUGGCGAACGGGUGAGUAAUACAUCGGAACGUACCUUAUCGUGGGGGAUAACGCAGCGAAAGCUGUGCUAAUACCGCAUACGCCCUGAGGGGGAAAGCGGGGGAUCGAAAGACCUCGCGCGAUUAGAGCGGCCGAUGCCGGAUUAGCUUGUUAGUGGGGUAAAAGCCCACCAAGGCGACGAUCAGCAGCUGGUCUGAGAGGACGAUCAGCCACACUGGGACUGAGACACGGCCCAGACUCCUACGGGAGGCAGCAGUGGGGAAUUUUGGACAAUGGGGGCAACCCUGAUCCAGCAAUGCCGCGUGAGUGAAGAAGGCCUUCGGGUUGUAAAGCUCUUUUGUCAGGGAAGAAACACCGGCUCUAACACAGUCCGGGAAUGACGGUACCUGAAGAAUAAGCACCGGCUAACUACGUGCCAGCCGCCGCAGUAA
rnacentral:rRNA from 1 species